AUUCAUCUGGCAAAGGCCAAAGCGGCCACUGGCUCACCCCAACGUUUCUCCAGCUCUGGAGAAUCAUGGAAUCAUCUGGGUUGGGAAAGAGCUCCAAGAUCAUUGAUUCCAGGCAAUGAUCCAGCCUGGACCUUUGGUGCUUCCCCUGCACUUGCAGAGACCAAACAGGGCCUGGUCCUGGUUUUGGGAUGGAUCUCCAAGCAGAGGGAAGCGGCCGGACAUCGGGAUGAGCAUCGGGUCAUGGCAAAGAGGGAAAAGGAAUUUAAACACCUCUUAGGGGCUGCAGGUAACAGCACUCCGAGCUGCUCACCUUCCAUAAAUCCCAUUAAAUCCAACGAAGCGGGGCAGGAUCUCUGCCCCAAGUGGGGAAAACCAGCUCGGAUCAAAACGGAGCCGCAGAAAUCAUGAUUAAUAUCUAACACAAAAGAACCGAAAUUGUCACCAUCAGGAAUGAGGAGCUAUUUAAGGAACAAUUGCUGCAAUUUUCCAGCCAACCCAGCAGCUGAACCUUGUCAGGCACAGGCAGGUACGCUCCAGCCGGCUCCUGAUGUGGCACUGGGAUGGACACAGCCGGACAGCGCUGUGCCUGGAGCCAGGUAAACCCACAGCCAGGUACAUCCUGGAGCCCCCAGCACUUUCCAAGCUACCUGAGGGCAUCUCUCACCCCCUGGACUGUUCCCACUGCCCACCUGGUGCAUGCCCCUUCCCACCAGGACACCCCAGGAUCCAGGGGGGGUCCUGGGGACCGAUGACCCUCCGGCAGCUCCGCACGCCCCCAGCCCAUCCUCGCAUUAGGAUGCGGCGCAUGGCCGGCAUUUGGAUACCAAAUGUGCAACCAGCAGGGAAUGUAAUUGCGGUCCCUGGAAAGGGACAGGCGGAGACGGAGACGGGCACGGAGAGAGAAUCCUGUCAGCGACGCCGGCCCGGUGGUGUCUGCUCUCCAUUAACCACUCGCCGCAGCCCUGGGCUGGUGAGGAAUUGCUAACACGGCUUAACGGGCUGGAAAAGAGGGGUGGGAAGGGCUGGGAGUGAUCUCGGCACAAAGGGAGAACAGAAGGAGGAAAACUAAAAGAGCAGGAAUUGCACAGGACGAGGCGGAGCGCUGGCACACCCAAACACCCAGCACUGCUCUGGCACCCCGAGAGGGGACGGUGACACAGGAACAAGGCCAGUGCCAGGAUUAAAAUUCACAUUCAAAUCACUCCAAGGGGUUUCAGGGCAUGGUUCUUUCAGAGGCUGAUGUGGGCCCCAGUAUGAUACCCGUGGGAGCAGGGAGUGGGGACACAGAGAACUGGGGACACGUAGCAAAUGGCCGUGACCCCAAAAGUCCCAGCCACAACCAAGACACAGAGGUUUUGGGAUCCAGCCCCACUCCAACCUGGAGACAUGGGUGGUAUCCUCCAAGCUGAGCCUUCCUGCUCGGCCACCUCUCUGCAGCACCAAAUUCCCCUGGAUUAAACAGAUGUGGCAUCGUCUUCGCUCCCCUGAUGGAGAGGUGGCACACGCAGCCACCAGCGGCCUGGCC
rnacentral:lncRNA from 1 species